AAUGAACGCUGGCGGCGUGCUUAACACAUGCAAGUCGAACGGUAACAGAGGAGCUUGCUCCUGCUGACGAGUGGCGCACGGGUGAGUAAUGCAUAGGUAACGUGCCCCUUAGUCUGGGAUAGCCACUGGAAACGGUGAUUAAUACUGGAUACUCCUUCUUUCUUAAUGAGAGUUGGAAAGUUUUUCGCUAAGGGAUCGGCCUAUGUUGUAUCAGGUAGUUGGUGAGGUAAUGGCUCACCAAGCCUAUGACACAUAGCGGGUCUGAGAGGAUGAUCCGCCACACUGGUACUGAGACACGGACCAG
rnacentral:rRNA from 1 species